GGAGGAAGUCCGGUUGGUCGAGGAAACUGUCUUGAAAACAGUCGAGUGUAAUAGCUUCGGGGGUUCGAUUCCCUCUUCCUCCGCAA
rnacentral:tRNA from 1 species